rnacentral:rRNA from 1 species
UACGUAGGGGGCAAGCGUUGUCCGGAUUUAUUGGGCGUAAAGCGCUCGCAGGUGGUUCGUCGCGUCGUGCGUGAAAGACCCCGGCUCAACUGGGGGAGGUCGUGCGAUACGGGCGGACUGGAGGCCAGUAGGGGGAUGCGGAAUUCCGGGUGUAGUGGUGGAAUGCGCAGAUAUCAGGAAGAACACCCGUGGCGAAGGCGGCUCUCUGGAACGCAACUGACGCUGAGACGCGAAAGCGUGGGGAGCAAACAGG